UACGAACCGUCCAAACGUUACUCGGAAUCACUGGGCUUAAAGGGUGCGUAGGCCGCGCGGAGGGUGGGAUGUGAAAUCCCCCGGCUCAACCGGGGAAUAGCGUCCCAAACCGCCGUGCUCGAGGGAGACAGAGGUGAGCGGAACUGAUGGUGGAGCGGUGAAAUGCGUUGAUAUCAUCAGGAACACCAGUGGCGAAAGCGGCUCACUGGGUCUUUCCUAACGCUGAGGCACGAAAGCUAGGGGAGCGAACAGG
rnacentral:rRNA from 1 species